UACGGAGGGGGCUAGCGUUGUUCGGAAUUACUUGGCGUAAAGCGCACGUCGGCGGCUUUGUAAGUUAGAGGUGAAAGCCCGGAGCUCAACUCCGGAAUUGCCUUUAAGACUGCAUCGCUAGAAUUGUGGAGAGGUGAGUGGAAUUCCGAGUGUAGAGGUGAAAUUCGUAGAUAUUCGGAAGAACACCAGUGGCGAAGGCGACUCACUGGACACAUAUUGACGCUGAGGUGCGAAAGCGUGGGCAGCAAACAGG
rnacentral:rRNA from 1 species